CACAUGCAAGUCGAACGGUAACAUGAGUGCUUGCACUUGAUGACGAGUGGCGGACGGGUGAGUAAGGUAUGGGGAUCUGCCAAAUGGAGGGGGACAACAGUUGGAAACGACUGCUAAUACCGCAUAAAGUUGAGAGACCAAAGUACGGUUCCGCAAGGACGUGCGCCAUUUGAUGAACCCAUAUGGGAUUAGCUAGUUGGUGUGGUAAAGGCUCACCAAGGCGACGAUCUCUAGCUGGUCUGAGAGGAUGACCAGCCACACUGGAACUGAGACACGGUCCAGACUCCUACGGGAGGCAGCAGUGGGGAAUAUUGCACAAUGGGGGGAACCCUGAUGCAGCCAUGCCGCGUGUAUGAAGAAGGCCUUCGGGUUGUAAAGUACUUUCGGUAGUGAGGAAGUUGUGUGUAUGAAAAGUGCAUGCAAUUGACGUUAGCUACAGAAGAAGCACCGGCUAACUCCGUGCCAGCAGCCGCGGUAAUACGGAGGGUGCGAGCGUUAAUCGGAAUGACUGGGCGUAAAGGGCAUGUAGGCGGAUAAUUAAGUUAGGUGUGAAAGCCCCGGGCUCAACCUGGGAAUUGCACUUAAAACUGGUUAUCUGGAGUAUUGUAGAGGAAGGUAGAAUUCCACGUGUAGCGGUGAAAUGCGUAGAGAUGUGGAGGAAUACCGGUGGCGAAGGCGGCCUUCUGGACAGAUACUGACGCUGAGAUGCGAAAGCGUGGGGAGCAAACAGGAUUAGAUACCCUGGUAGUCCACGCUGUAAACGAUGUCGAUUUGGAGUUUGUUGCCCUGAGUGAUGGGCUCCGAAGCUAACGCGAUAAAUCGACCGCCUGGGGAGUACGGCCGCAAGGUUAAAACUCAAAUGAAUUGACGGGGGCCCGCACAAGCGGUGGAGCAUGUGGUUAAUUCGAUGCACGCGAAGAACUUACCUGGUCUUGACAUCACAGAAUCUGGCAAAAUGCUGGAAUGCCUUCGGAACUGUAAACAG
rnacentral:rRNA from 1 species